GACGAACGCUGGCGGCGUGCUUAACACAUGCAAGUCGAACGAAGUGGCGAACGGGUGAGUAACGCGUAAUCAACCUGCCCUUCAGAGUGGGACAACAGUUGGAAACGACUGCUAAUACCGCAUACUGAAGGAGGGGAUUGCGUCUGAUUAGUUAGUUGGGGGGGGAACGGCCCACCAAGGCGAUGAUCAGUAGCCGGUCUGAGAGGAUGAACGGCCACAUGGGGACUGAGACACGGCCCAGACUCCUACGGGAGGCAGCAGUGGGGAAUCUGCCGCAAUGUACGAAAGUCUGACGGAGCAACGCCGCGUGAGUGAUGACGGCCUUCGGGUUGUAAAGCUCUGUUAAUCGGGACGCGGUACCGGAAUAGAAAGCCACGGCUAACUACGUGCCAGCCGCCGCGGUAAUUC
rnacentral:rRNA from 1 species